GAUGAACGCUGACAGAAUGCUUAACACAUGCAAGUCAAACGGUGGCGGACGGGUGAGUAACGCGUAAAGAACUUGCCUCACAGAUAGGGCCAACAUUUGGAAACGAAUGCUAAUACCUGAUACUGGGAGAGAGCUUUGCGUAACAUUAGCUUGUUGGAGAGGUUACGGCUCACCAAGGCGAGGAGGGGUAGCCGGCCUGAGAGGAUGAUCGGCCACAAGGGGACUGAGACCCGGCCCUUACUCCUACGGGAGGCAGCAGAGGGUGAUAUUAGACAGUGUACCAGAGUCUGAUCCAGCAAUUCUGUGUGCACGAUGUAGUUUUCGGAAUGUAGAGUGCUUUCAGUUUGGAAGCAGUACCAACAGAAUAAGUGACGGCUAAAUACGUGCCAGCAGCCGCGGUAAUAC
rnacentral:rRNA from 1 species